UCCCGCUUAUCACGGGCAGUUUCCUUAGAGUUCCCAGCAUUACCUGUUGGCAACUAAGGACGAGGGUUGCGCUCGUUGCGGGACUUAACCCAACAUCUCACGACACGAGCUGACGACAGCCAUGCAGCACCUGUGUCCAGGUUCCCUUUCGGGCACCCCCACAUCUCUGGAGGCUUCCUGGCAUGUCAAGGGUAGGUAAGGUUUUUCGCGUUGCAUCGAAUUAAUCCACAUAAUCCACCGCUUGUGCGGGUCCCCGUCAAUUCCUUUGAGUUUUAGCCUUGCGGCCGUACUCCCCAGGCGGGACACUUAAUGCGUUAGCUGCGGCACGGGAGGAGUCGACACCUCCCACACUUAGUGUCCAUCGUUUACGGCGUGGACUAC
rnacentral:misc_RNA from 1 species